CCGACGCAGUUAGGUUUGUCAGCAGCAGUAGUGAAACUCUUUGGUUUGUAUGCUGUUGCUCUCUCGUUUUUGCAUGUUGUAGGAACCUACGUUUGUUAUAUCGCAAAAGAGUUGCUCUUCAUAUUAUCGGGGUGGUUUGAAGUGGCACGCCGAAGCAGCGGAACAGGAGUACCGACCGGUGUGAUUCCCUAAACUAAAGGUGUGAAUCCAACAUCGAGGAUGGAGCAAGCUCACACGAAGUCUGUGGCGGAGACGCUAUCGUAUUUUAGUGUCAAUGAAGAAACCGGCCUCACUCUGGAACAAGUGAAGGCGAACACAGAAAAAUAUGGACCUAAUGAAUUGCCAGCAGAAGAGGGUAAG